GUGUUUACUGUCCGUGUAAAAAAUUUUAAAUUGUUUUUAUAAUAAAUUAUGUCAGUGAUUUAUUUUGUGUGAUUUGUGCAGGAUGCAAUGGUACUUGUGACUGCACUGUCAGUUGAUCAGAUCAGGCAUGCGUAUUGAAAUUGUUCGGAGUGCAUGCGCACACCAAUUUGUCAGACAUUGGUAAAAUUGAAAAAUCCUAUUUUGCCCUUAGUUGUAAUUCAAAAUUUCGAUGAGUGCAUGCGUAUUGAAAUGGUUCGGUCAGUGCAUGUGGGCACCAUUUGUCAGAUGUCAGUAAAAUAAUUAAAAAUUCUAUGUUGCCUUUAGUUGUAGUUCAAAAUUUAUUCAACGCCGACUCUCACACGGUCACACCCAUUUCUCACAAACCCUAUCUCUCUCUCUCCCCGCUUAUUCUUUUUCACUGCCGCACCCUCGCCUCUAGCAAAGUAAAACAGAGACACCAACGCCUCCAUCAGUGAAGAAGAUGGUGGGCUUGGUUUCCAGUCUUCCCUUUAAUUCUCAUAUGCUUUUUCAUUCGUUUCGUGCGAGGUUUUCUGCCAUUGUAGAAGCCUAAUGGUCCCAAGCCACGGCCGUUGAAAUCGUCUUCCAAGUCGUCCUCCUCAGCUCAGGAUGAGAUCGAGAUACGGCUGAGAGUCACCAAGAAGAAAAGUACCGGAUAGAUCUGAUGGCUCCUCUUCCUGCGUUAAGAUCAUCCCCAGAAAGAGAUCGAA